CUUUGAAAAAAAGAGUUCAAGAGUACGUGAAACGGCUAAGAGGCUAAGCGAAUAGAGUAUCGAAGUAGAUGUUUAUGGUUCACGUUUAAUGAAGGCUUAAAAGCUGGAACUAUGCGGUAUACCAUUUUCAUCAUCGUGCUGAGAAUCAAUUCAUCCUUGCCCUUGUAUAGCAAGCGGCUGUAUCGCGAGAGCUUAAACUACGGUUAAAGUUGUCGAUGCAGUUGUUUAAGGGAAGGAGUGAUUGAUUUAUAUAAAUCUGGUUUAGGCCAGGGUGCAGGCAGUGGAGCUGGAGUAAUGUAGUUAGUAGGCAAAAGGGAACCAGACAGUUCGCUGUAGGUCUCUCUUGUUUCGACUAUAUUACCUUGUGAAUCUGUUUGAUCAGCACAGUAGUCUUACUCUACUCGUCCCGUCUUGAAACACGGACCAAGGAUUCUAGCAUGUGGUCGAGUAUAUCAGUCUUGAAUAGGCUGGGAUGCGAAAUGAAAGUAACCCGUGCAGAGCCACUUGUGGCACAAGUACGACCCGCUAACGCGGAGCGUAGACGAUACGCUGGUACCCGAAAGAUGGUGAACUAUGCCUGGGCAGGAUGAAGCCAGAGGAAACUCUGGUGGAAGUCUGAAGCGGUUCUGACGUGCAAAUCGAUCGUCAGACCUGGGUAUAGGGGCGAAAGACUAAUCGAACCAUC
rnacentral:rRNA from 1 species